rnacentral:tRNA from 1 species
GACUCAAUACUUUAAUAUAAAAGACCUGAUUUGCAUUUAGAUAAUAAGUUUAUAAAACUUUUGGGUC